UUUUGGUGUUUUAUGUUAAAACAUCUCCCUUUUUAUAUAGUGAUAGAUGUGUGUCGUACAAUAUUCACUCAUUGAUGCAUCUAGCAGAUAAUGUUAUAAAUGCUUUUCAAUUUGAAAAUCAUUAAUUUAAACUGAAAAAAAAGUGUAAGGAAGCCUCAAAAUCCAAUUGCACAAGUCGCAAAAAGGCUUGUUCAAUUGGAAAAAUCCAAAUGUAGAAAAAAA
rnacentral:lncRNA from 1 species